rnacentral:tRNA from 1 species
GCCGGGAUGAUGGAAUCGGCAGACAUGAAUGCCUCAAAAGCAUUUGCCCGAAAGGGCGUGCGGGUUCGAGUCCCGCUCCCGGCACCA